GAGGGUAGAGCUCAGCAGAAGAGGGCAUGCUUAGCAUGCACAAGGUCCUGGGUUCAAUCCCCAGUACCUCCA
rnacentral:tRNA from 1 species